UCCAGAACUUGAUGGAAAGA
rnacentral:piRNA from 1 species